GCCAUGCGCAGAUUCUCGCCUCGCGCGGGGGCGCCAGGGGGCAGCUGGUUGAGGUGCGCAUGCGCACUGGCACCUAACGGCUCUUCUUCGAGUCUUCUCAGAGGUUGGAGAUUCCCUGUCUUCUCCAACCUCUGCCAAGUCUUCAGAGAGGUUGGAGUGCGCCUGUCGGAGACCCCAGAUGAGGAUCUCGGGAAGAUCCACAAAGCUGCGUCCAGGGGAGCGAACCUGUGGAAGCUGCAGCGGAGCCUCCUGCUCAAGAGUAAAGGACCGGUCUGAAACCUCCAAGAACAGCCUCUAAGAAGAGGACCCCAAUGUCUCCAGCCUCUCAAAGGAGAAACUCAUCAUCACCAGCUUUUGGAGGAGAAACUGGCUGUCUCCAGCCUCUCAGAGAAUGACCUUUCCAUCUCCAGCCUCUCACAAGAGAAACUCACCAUGUCCAGCUUCUGGAAAAUAACUCACCAUCUGCAGCCUCUCAGAGGAGAAACUGGUUGUCUUUAGCCUCUCAGAAAAGGAAUUCACAGUCUCUAGCAUCUCAGAGGACAAACUUAUCAUCCUGAGCCUCUCAGAGAAGAAACUUACUGUUUCCAGCCUCCUAGACAGAAACUUGCUGUCUCUAGCCUCUCAGAGGAGAAACGGUCACCAGCCUCUUAGAAGAAGAAAACCUUGCUGUCUCCAGCCUCUUGGGAAAAAAAAGGCCAUCUCCAGCCUCUGAGAAGAGGACCUCAUUGUCUUCAGCCUCUCAGAAAAAGAACUCACCAACUCCAUCCUCUGAGAGGAAGAACUCACCAUAUCCAGCCAAUCACAGAGACUCACACUCCCCAGCCUCUCAGAGGAGAGACUCACUGUCUUCGCCUCUCAGAGAAAAAACUCACUGUCUCCAGCCUCUCAGAAAAGAAACUAACCAUCUCUGGUCUCUUGCAGAGGGAUCUCACUAUCUCCAGCCUCUCACAGGGGGACUUCAUGUCUCUAGCCUCUCACAGGAUGACCUCACUUUCUCCAGCCUCUUAGAUGAGGAACUCACAGUCUCUGGGCUCUAAGAGAAGAAACUCAUCAUCUUGAGUCUCUCAGAAGAGUAACUGACCAUCUCCAACUUUCCAGCAAAGAAACUGGCCAUCUUCUACCUCUCAGAAAAGAACCUCACCAUCUCCAGCCUCUCGGAAAUGGAAUUGGCCAUCUCCCGCCUCUCAGAGGAGGACCUCAAUGUCUCCAGACUCUCAGAGGAGGAAUUCACAGUCUCCAGACUCUCUGAGAUGAAACUCACUAUCCUGAGCUUCUGAGAAGAGAAGCUUACCAUCUCCAACCUCCCAGUAAAGAAACUGGCCAUCUCCUGCCUCUCAGAAUGAGGAUACACCAUCUCCAGACUCUCAGAAGAGAGACUUGUCAUCCUCAGCUUCUCAGAGAAGACACUCACCAUCUCCACUUUAUUGGAAGAAAAGCUCACAGUCUCCAGCCUCUCAGAAGAAAAUCUGGUCAUCUCCAGCAUCUCAGAGGAGCACUUCUCCUUCUCCAGCCUCUCAGAGGGUGGAACUUGUAGUCUUUAGCCUCUUAGAGGAGAAACUCAUCAUCUCCAGCCUUCUCUCAGAAGGGAAACUGGCUGUCUCCAGCCUCUCAGAGGAGAAACUUUUUGUCUCUAGCCUCUCGGAGUAGGACCUCACCAUCUCCAGCUUCUCAGAAAAUAAAUUAAUCAUCUUCAGCCUCUCAGAGGUGAAACUCACCAUCUACAGCCUCUCAGAAGAGUACCUUGCAGUCUGCAGUCUCUCAAAGGAGAAAAUUGCCAUCUCCAGCCUCUCAAAGAAGAAACUGUCUGCAGCCUCUCAGAUGAGGAAAUCUUCAUCUCCAGUCACUCAGGAAAGAAACUUACCAUCUCCAGCCUCUGAAAGAAGAAACUUGCUGCCUCCGGCCUCUCAAAGGAGGAACUCACCAUCUCCAGUCUCUCAUAGAAGGGCGUAAUUUUCUUCAGCCUCUCAGGAAAAAAAAGACUUGCCAUCUCCAGCCUCUCAGGAGAAACUCAUUGUCUCCAGCCUUUCAGAGGAGAGAGUCACCAUGUCCAGUUUCUCAGAGGAGGAGCUCACUGUCUUCAGCCUCUCAAAGUAGGGCUUUGCCAUCUCCUGCUACUCAGAGAAGAAGCUCCCCACCUCCAGCCUCUCAGUGGAGACAGUGGGGUUACAAUGGCAUAGCAUUGCCCCAACCCCCAAAAGAAAUAGUAUCGAAGUCCAAUGUAAACCUAUUAAUUACGUGGCUGUGCUACAAUCAAAACAUAGAUCUCUGACGUCAGCCUUAUUGUUCUUCAUUGUGUUGAUCAAGAGCUUUCAGGUUCCUCUUUCCAUGUAGUUGAGGAAAUUCCUCAGCCCAUUGUCACCUCGGAUCUCAUGCUGCAACUCCAUCCUUAGCUCAACACCCGCUUUCAAAGGGUUGCUGGUCUUCAGGUAGAGCAGGUUCUGCAGAUCAAAGGACAUUUUUCACUAAAAAUCUCUGACAUCAGAGACAGAGACUACAUAUCUAUAAUGAACCUUUCCGAAACCUGUCCAUUAGAAAGCCACUUCUCAGUACAGAGGUGGCCCUUGGAGUCUUUCCAGGAUUUUCACAUCCAUCUGCGAAGAGGAAAAGAACUCCUGAAACUGGGCUGACUUCAUAACCAGUUUAAUUUCACACAUCUCACCUUUCUGGAGCUGCCUUGUUUUUCCCUUCUUGCAUCACUGCAGAGAAAAUUCAUGGACUUCCUAAAGACCCCAGAUGAGGAUGUCGGGAUGAUACACAAAGCUGCGUCCAGGGGAACACGUGGGAGCUGCAGCGGAGGCUCCCGCUGAAGAGAAAAGACCAGUCUGAAAUCUACAAGAACAGAGAAUUAUUCCAAAUCAAUAUGAAAAUACCUCUAAAACUGGGCAAAGUACCUUUUCCAGCUCUGCAAGUCACCUAUGCACAUAGGAAAAAAUACUUAAUGUGUCUGAUAAGAGAAGGAAUUUAAUUUAAAAAAGGAAUGAAAUGCCGUUUUCUAUCCUAAGUUUGUGAGGAUGAGGAGCAGUGAUAUUUACACUUCUGCUUAAAGUUAAGUUGCUGAUGACUUUUCAAAAAGACAAUUUGGUGGAUGGCUCCACAUUUGGCCUGUGCCAAUGGCUGCCCAGAAGUGGUAACUUUUCUGGUGCACAGAAAAUGCCAGCUUAACAUCCGUGACAGUGAAAACAAGACACCUCUAACGAAGGCUAUAACAUGCCAAGAAGAUGUGAAACUAUUCUGCUAGACCUUGGUGCUGAUCCAAAUAUUACCGAUGUCUAUGGCAACACUGCUCUCCAUAUGCUGUCUAUAAUGAGAAUAUGUCAAUGGUAGCAAAACUGUUUUCACACAAGACAAACAUCGAAGUGAAAAACAAUGUAGAGCAACCAAUGUUAUUUUCAAAAUAUUUGAAAUCCACUUGUUUUAACACUGACAUAUGUAAGGGUCAGUUUUUCCUAUUUGGAAGCUUAAGCAAUCCCUGAAUAAAAAUAAUUUGAAAUAA